rnacentral:rRNA from 1 species
GCCGCCGUAAAACCAGCACCUCAAGUGGUCAGGAGGAUUAUUGGGCCUAAAGCAUCCGUAGCCUGUUCUAUAAGUUUGCGGUUAAAUCUAUACGCUCAACGUAUAGGCUGCCGUAAAUACUGUAGAACUAGGGAGUGGGAGAGGUAGACGGUACUCGAUAGGAAGGGGUAAAAUCCUUUGAUCUAUUGAUGACCACCUGUGGCGAAGGCGGUCUACCAGAACACGUUCGACGGUGAGGGAUGAAAGCUGGGGGAGCAAACCGGAUUAGAUACCCGGGUAGUCCCAGCUGUAAACGAUGCAGACUCGAUGAUGCAAUGGCAUAGAGCUAUUGCAGUAUCGCAGGGAAGCCGUUAAGUCUGCCGCCUGGGAAGUACGUACGCAAGUAUGAAACUUAAAGGAAUUGGCGGGGGAGCACGGUCAUACCUGGUUUCCUGA